GACGAACGCUGGCGGCGUGCUUAACACAUGCAAGUCGAGCGGAAAGGCCACUUCGGUGGUACUCGAGCGGCGAACGGGUGAGUAACACGUGAGUAAUCUGCCCCUGGCUUUGGGAUAACCACCGGAAACGGUGAUUAAUACCGGAUACGACCACUUCUCGCAUGGGAUGGUGGUGGAAAGUUUUUUCGGCCAGGGAUGUGCUCGCGGCCUAUCAGCUUGAUGGUGAGGUAAUGGCUCGCCAUGGCUUCGACGGGUAGCCGGCCUGAGAGGGUGACCGGUCACGCUGGGACUGAGACACGGCCCAGACUCCUACGGGAGGCAGCAGUGGGGAAUAUUGGACAAUGGGCGGAAGCCUGAUCCUGCAACGCCGCGUGAGGGAUGACGGCCUUCGGGUUGUAAACCUCUUUCAGCAGGGACGAAGCGCAAGUGACGGUACCUGCAGAAGAAGCACCGGCCAACUACGUGCCAGCAGCCGCAGUAA
rnacentral:rRNA from 1 species